UGGAGAUCUCUGUGUACUUGAGGCCUUUCUAAGAGUUUGCCUUGAGGUGAGAGAUGUACAAAUGUGUGUGGAUACUGACUGAAGAGGAAGGAAGGCUGCUCAGUCACUGUGAAGCCAUCAAACUGCAGAACUAGCAAGACUGGCAGCCAUACUUGGAAGAGAUUUAAGCACUGAGCCCCAGUUGUGAACCAGGAACCUGGUACACAGAAAUAGACCUGAAAACUCGAGCUGCCUUGAGCUCCAACUGCGUAUCAGGAAUGUGUUCUGCCCAAAUAGAUCAGAACCUCUGGCUGCCUUCUGGAAACAGGAGUUAGCAUCUUGUAAGACGGAAAAAUAACUGAAUCAGCCCAAGGCACAUACGCUCUUAAGACUUGUCACUAAAUUGUACCGAUAUACUGUUAAUUACUUCCUCAGGGUUGACUUAUGUCAUCUUUAUUGUGCUACUGUUAUGGAGUUAUUGCAGAGAAAUCUGUUUUCUACUAAGCUCUAUCUAUAAUCUAUACAGGUAGUGGUUCAACACCAGAACACGUUUAACUUCACUGGACAGGCUCCUUUGCAAGGUACUUGUUUCAAGAUACAGCAUCUGUCUUCCCAGCCCUCAAUGCAAUAUCACCCUUCCACAAGUUAUGACUGCUUGUAAUUGGUGCACCAACUUGUCUUAGUAACAAAGUUAAGAAUAAAAAAAACAGCACAAAAACAUGAAGUGCCAAGUAAUUACAAAUGGAUGUAACACGUUAUUGUCAACCCACUGCAUUUGCAGUUUGGGACAUAUCUAUAAUACUCAUUAACUUUUCUAAAUAAGGGACCCUAUUUCAAAAGGUGUGUAGGAAGCAAUGCACAAAUGUAGUCAGUAGGAAUUUGUAUGCUAACCUCCCACAUCGCAUUAAAAUGUCCUGGACCGCAGGAGGUGGUAUGUAGGAGUGGGUGGGCAAACUUUAGAACAGAGGAAGGUACUGAAUCACUUGAAAAUGCACUUGCUCUUUAUUUACGUAUUCCAUUACUCGUUCCAAUUAUUACCUCCUAAGCAUUCUUUCUUUACAGAGUUAUUUCAAGGCUGAAUAGAAGUGCUACAUUCUUGAUGCAAACCUGUCUUUACUCCCACUUCCUCUUCUCUUUAAAUUUAACAAACAAAAUUGUGCUGAAAGAUGAUGAACCAGCUCCCAAAACAACUCAAAGCUUGCAGUUGCCAGUCGCUAUCCAGUAUUCAUUAAGAUUUACAAUUCUGCUACAGCUUAACUGAAAACCAUCUGUAUUUUAUGGUAGACCAGCACAUACUGUUGCACUAGAAAUCACACAGAACAGGAGAAAGAAUAAAGAGCAGAAGAGUUUAUGUAUUUGAAAGACGACCAGAAAAAAGAAGGUCGGGGUCAACACAAAAAUUUUAAUUAAAUAUGAAAAAAUGAGUAUGGCUUUUGUGUUUUAAACAAGCUGUAGCAACUAUAAUUGGAAAAGCUAUAGUUCUCAUAGAGAAAGUAGAAAUGAGUACUAUAGCAAGUAAGCUUUGAGGUGGUAACAAUGACUAAAAUUUUAUCAGUUUUUCCUAUGUAUUAAUGCAGAAAUGCAGUGUAGGGCUCUAAAAUCACGCCUCACUUAGAGAUGCAGCAGCAAGCUCUCAUCUUACUAACGCAGGGAAAAGCUUGCUUCAUACAAGCAGCAUUGUCACAGUCACUUCAGCCUGCUUGUCCUAUCGAAUUGCUAUCCAUAUCAACCUAGAAGGCAAUCUGUUGAUCAUGUAUAACCCACAAGGAACAACUUUUCUUCCUAGUGCAUACAGGUGCUAGAAGCACCUGAGAUCAGACAAGUGAAUUGUUAAUUUAAAAAAAAAAAAACAAACAUGAUAUGAAUUCUAAUGCUGGGCAGCUAUAGAAGGGAAAGACAGCUGUGUCUGUGUGAUUCUAGAGCAGCAGAGCAUCAGGGCUAGCCCUUUGGACAGGCUGAGUCCAAAGUACCCUGACUGAGCGCUGCAACUUUAAGCAGUCACAACUGAUUGCAAAUUGGUGUGUUUAUUUUCACACAAAAAUCAAACCUUGGUUUACUACACUUAAGUCUUCUCAUUACCUUUGCUGUGGAAUUCCGCUCAUUGAGUAAAAUUUGCACUUAAAUAAUAAGGUAUAUAUAAAAGAAAGCAUAACUUACAAUUUGCUACUGGAUUGUCUGUUUCUAGUACUUGGCAAAAUUUCUGCCUUAUAUAAUUACAUUUGCUUUAUAGGCUUAUUACAUGAUGCUUUAACAUUGCGUGUGGCUUUCAGCAGCAGUUCCAGAAUGGCACUGCUUGGUCACAGAUGUUUCCAAAGCCAGUAAUUACACUCUUAAUAAGCCUCUGAUAAUAUUGUUUAUAAUUGGAUUUACAAGGGAGACCCAAUUAUUCCAAAUACAUUAGGGUGCAUGGAUGCUGGCUUAUCUACCUGACAAGGCUGGGAGAAUAAUGUGAAUACUGUAGAAGUAUUUACCUGUGCUAAAUGCUAUGUAUUCUUCAUUGUUUAAUUUUUUUAUUCCCUAAAACCUUUGCGCAUAGCCUGCCUCCAUUUAUUUCAGUGCUGCUUUUACAAUCUACAGUACAGUUCUAACCUACAACACAUCCAUGAAGAGCAGAGUAGCUCCAUGGAAACUAAGAUUCCUUUUGGGACUGAUUUUUCUCAUCUAACUGCCAGUUAGGAAACGAUCUGGCAUAGCCAAUGCAUUUGAUUGAGACACACUGAGUAUGCAGACAAUGUAUUUUGCAAGUUUGCUUUACAAAUUAUUUUCCUUAUUUAAGUGGUACUAAUAUUAUCUGCAGUUGUAAGAUAAAAUAAGAAAGCUACCAAUUACAUAUUUUAUUUUCUAUUACAGUAAAUAUGCUCAUGAAACAAGCAAGCUCACUGCUUUUGCUGCAGAACAGGAUGGAGAGUUGUGAAAUUCUUAAUUACAUUCUCACUGUACAAGUUAACCUAGGACUCCUAGGACUAAUGAUCAGAUUCUUUUCUUCAUUUUUAGAUAAGUAAGUAAAUCAUGUCCUGGAAAAAUAAACUGCUUUGCCCCCAGCUCCACAAAACCCCCAAAUAAUAAUAAUAAAAAAGACUAAUAGAGUAUCUGAGAUUGACCUAAGUAAAAACCACUUGGAUCUCUCUCUGAAUUCACAUUCAAGUUUAAAACAACACAUGAAACAGCCUUCAAUCAGAUACGGGCUAGGCUUGUCUUCAGAAGACUUGUAUUCAUAAGAAAUAACAGUACAAAGACUAGGAAAGUCAAGAAAUGGGUAUUUAGUUAUUUAAAGUGGAUUCCUGCAAAAAGGUUUUUCAUCUGGCAGAAGUCUAUUCUGCAUACCAUGCAGUUAGUUGUCUAUUAUGCAAAUACUUCUUGAAAUUCUUGCUAAAAACCCUGUAAACUUUAAGACAAAAAACAUUUUCAACAAUUUUAAAUAGCAACAAGGGAAAUUUUCUUUCACUUACAAAGCCAAUUCCACAUCAGCAGUGAUCUAAACACUGAAAGAAGAAAAUGUAACUAACUAUUUUAAUGUAUAUUUCAUAUAAUUCUUCAUUUUCUUUGGAAUGAAGGUAAACUUCUAGCAGUUAUUGAGAGACAUCACAAUAUUGGUGUACUGCAGUAAAACCCUUUGAGAUUUAAGGAUACACUAUUUUUGCAGUAGAAAAUAUUAACAAGGUCUAAAGGAAAUCUAGGAAGUCAUUAGUUUGUACAGUAACUGUGUAGUACUGCUAAAUUGGGGAGCAGGAGGCAAAAGGAAUGUCGUCUGAAAUCAGUGUGUAUAUUAGGUGUAAAUCCAGAUAUAAAAUUUUCUGUUAGAGAAUGGAAUUAUGCUAUACUAUAUGCUUUACAUUAUAACAGUGUAAAAUCUGCAGAAAUUGCCAUUAAGUUCUAUGCAUGUAAGCACAGCUUUUAAAAAAAAUAAAAUAUAAAAAAAAAUAAUAACCUCUUUGAACCAAGAUGCCCUCCUGUUUGCAGCUUUAGUUGUCCUAGAUUAAGUCUGACAGCAAGCUCAUGGUAACUAAUGUCACUGUGACCUUUGUACUUUAUGGUUUACAAAGCAAUUCCUGAGAAAACACGCGGAAAACUCAUCUUUAACCCACCUGCCAAAGAUUUAUGACAUGCAGUAAGGUUGAAGUUAAAUAAAUAACGAUGUACAAAUGUAUCUCUGGUAAGAACUGAAAAUCUGCCUAUAUGCUCUUGGGCUUUUUGAGGUGCAUCUUCUCACUGGGGCAUGCAGAGUAGUUGUAGAAGCAGAUGUUUUAUGUGAGUAUUUCCUAUAUGAUGUUUGAGGGGAAUUAUACUUUUGAGAUCUAGUGUCCAAGAUUUCCUGCCUUUUUAGGUAUGUCCAGCAAGACUGGCAAGGUGAAAAAAAAAAACUCAUAUGUUUAAUUUACAUGAAGGUAAUCUUCUGUUUUUGUUGCAAUGAAUACUCAUUUUCUGAUUUAGCAGAGAAUUACUUAUCACAAAAUGCAAAAGGUAAAAGACAAGCUGACUUAAACUAGUUUUCAUUUCGCUGUAGGUUUAAACCAUGCACUUAAACGUUACAAAUGCGGGCUUUUAGAAAACAAACAAACAAAAAACCUUUGUUGCCUUUUAACACUAGUUACACAAAGGAUUCCGAUCAAGUGAGUACUUAAACAAGGGAAGCUUAACAGAAACAUCAGUAGACCAGAAUCCUGUAAACUACAAGGCUUUUCUUUUUUAAAUUCAGCCAUUUUAUUCAUAAACACAUUGUAUGGAAGUUUGAAGCUAAGCUAAACUUAAUCUGCAACCCAAAAAAGUAUUGUAAGAAAAAAAAAAAUGGUUCUUUGCCAUUAAGUGUUUGAGGGAAAAGUAUAGCAGACACAAGCUUUGAAAAAUGAAAAUGCGUCUCGCGGUUCUUAGAGCUCGUAUUUGUCAGAUAGCUGGAGCAGGGUAUUAACAUCCAAUAGUCUGCAUUGCCAUAGCAACGUGUGCUUGUCAGAUCAGGGCUGAUUUGAUGCAGGCACCUUCUAGGUGGAAACAAUCUGCAACUCUUUUAAUACAAAUCUCCAGAAUUCAAUAGGAUUUUCAUCUAAUUUUUUUAGGUAAUAUUGUUACACAAUGCAAGGUGUACAUCUCGAGGUAAGCUAUCUGAUCUGGAUCUGCGCAACCUGCUCUUUACUAACGCAAUGUUCUGAGGGAUUUAAUGCAGCCAGGCACAGAAGGGGAAGUCCUUGGCUACAAGUUUUUCAUAUGGGAAACUGUGAAUGAAAAUAAUCUGAUCCGGACACCUAAUUAGCAUUUAUACAAUUACAGAAAUGCUGGAUGUCAUCCUAUUCUCUUUGGGGUCAAUAGAGAACCUGCCCCUUUAUUUCAGGAAAACCAAUGGUUUGUUCAAUUCUGAACUACAGUCAAGUCAGCCAUAAGGUAGCAUAGCAUAUACAGAUGGAUGAAGAGAGGGAGAUGUGCAGAGUUCAGUGAUUUGUGCCAUUUUACACAGAAAGUUGGCAAGAGAAAUAGUGUUAUGCAGCUUUGAAUCUGUUACUACUAAAUUAUUACUACAUAUGCAAUAAAUUGUUUUAUUGUUUGAUUAAAAGUAAAAAUUGCAACGCAAAAAUCUCUCAGCUAAGGUGGCACAUUUUCAAGGAAUUCACCACACAUUACUAAGCUUGAUUUCUACUUCAGUAUGCUGUGGUUUUGAACCUUUGCAUAUUUUUAAUAAAUCAAGCAUUGCUAUAUUCAAAAAUGUAUGCAGAUUGAAAUGUUAAUGUUUCUAGAAACCAAGGAUUGAAACUUGCUUAAUUGUACGCACAACAUAUACUCAGUAUUGAAUUAUUAAUGCUUUUUGAUUGUACUUUUUUCUCCUUUUAAAGUUGGCUCAUUCCUUUACUGGAGGACAAAUACAGAGAUUUCUAUGGAAAUAUUCCCUCAGACACACAGCUACAUCUUAAACUGCUAGAAUCAGCUUGUGCUGGAACAGGUUGCCCAGAGAGGAGGUGGACGACCCGUC